AGCGUUCUCAGAUGCUUGCUACUCUUUUUAAGGAUGAAAGGUGCCAGCAACUUGCUGCCUAUGGAAUCCUCGAGAAAAUGUACCUAGAUAGGAUCAUCAGAGGAAAUCAACUUCAAGAAUUUGCUGCCAUGCUGAUGCCUCACCAGAAACCAACUACAGCUGAUGGUUCUAGCAUCUUGGACAGAGCUGUUAUUGAACACAGUUUAUUGUCUGCAAGCAAAUUAUAUAAUAAUAUUACCUUUGAGGAACUUGGAGCCCUUUUAGAGAUUCCUACAGCUAAGGCAGAAAAGAUAGCAUCGCAAAUGAUAACAGAAGGACGUAUGAAUGGAUUUAUUGAUCAGAUUGAUGGAAUAGUUCAUUUUGAAACACGAGAAGCCCUGCCAACAUGGGACAAACAGAUCCAAUCGCUUUGUUUCCAAGUGAAUAACCUUUUGGAGAAAAUCAGUCAGACAGCACCAGAAUGGACAGCACAAGCCAUGGAAGCCCAGAUGGCUCAGUGAAUCCUUGCAGACCUUCUGUGCACAUUACAUCUUUUUCCAUGUUGUACAGAUUAAUUUCACUAUCUCUCAAAAGCGUUUGCAUCAUGACCUUACAUAUUUCCAUCCCUUUUAUGCUGGAUUCAAUUUAAAGAAGACAUUAUUAGAACAGGAAGUACAAGCAUUUAAAACUAUGUAGUUCCCAUUUAUUCAGGGUCUCUGUAUCAGGCUAACUCAGAUGUUUUGAAAGCUUUUUCUUUAAACAGAGUAGGUGAAGUAUCUGUGGCUAAAAAGUUUGGGAUUUGUGAUAACUUUGUAGUUAUGUAAAACUUAAGUGCUUGGUGCCUCUCCACAUGUGGUUAUCUAAUAAAUGGAGAAGUGAGCCAAAUAAAAGUAGUACUUUGUUUUUAAUUAGUGAC